GUAGGUCUGACUUAUUUCCAUGGACCCAGCACCGAACUCCAUGAGGAAGAAUCCCAUGUGCACUUGUGCUUGCGCGCUGAUUGGAGAAUGGAAGAGGCUAGGAAAUCAUCGCAGAGCUACUGUCAUGCCCAAAGGCCCCAAUCUGGAUUGGACCUCCACUGGGCGAGGCCAUGUACAGAUGCCUAGGAAGAGACAGCUCUGCCCUGAAGCGCUGACCAUCUCAUUACACAGACUGACAAGGCAGAGGGAGCAUGGUGCAGAGGCCUGGAACGCUGGAUGGUGCAGGUGCUUGUGACUCAGCGUCGGCUGCUGCGCGGGAGCUGCAUGGGAACAAUGCCCGACUCACAAAGCACCCUUUAUGCUGCCGCUUCCCACAGUUUCUGGUUUGCUGAGAUAAGUA